UGCGCGCGCAGCUGGCUGCCGCUACCGAGCGCGCGCAUCGGUUGCACGCUGCGUUGGCUAGCCAGGCGCCUAAUGAUUACCAAAUGACAGAUGAGUACUUCAUCAAACCGGAAGGGGAGCUGCCUAUACAGGACCAACCAAGCAACGGAGGGUGAUCGACUCGACGAGUGAACUCAAACCGACUACCGCUCACGCGAUGACCACGACUAACCACAGUAUACGCGUCACUAACCUGGCAAGUCCAACGCGACUAAACCACGAUAGAGCUAAAACCAUCCAGUUUUAUCAAAAUCGAUCAAGCAUUUACGCAAAAAUCAUCAGUAACGAUUAGCAAAUCGACAACCAUUAUAGAAACUGUAUAUUUUGUAAUAAUUGUUUUUUUUUUUCGUUAGCUUUACCAACUUGUAAGUACGAAUCUAAUGUAGUAUUAAAAAUAUAUGUUAUUAUUCCAUACGUAAGUUAAUGUGAUCAUUUGUAAAUGGACAGGUUAAGAGAAAAUGUAUUUUUUCUUCGUAACGAUAUAUGUAUUUCAUUUCUAUAUAUUUUUCUUAUUAAUUUGAGUGUUAGAAACGUUGUAAAUAACUAAAAAAGUAAUAAAGUCACUCUUCCUGUUAUGUAUAUUUUUUUGUAUAAAAAUACAGCACUUCGAAAAUGUAUAUUGAUCUUUGAAAGUAUUAUGUAUGACAAUAUUGUUGAUUGCAAACAAAAUGUUGAAUCCGCGACGACAUUUCUGUUUAUGGAUGAGAUUGUCUUUCGUCAAGAGUGUUUGAACCUAAUAUACAUGAAUUAAAAUAUACUUCAUCUUAUACUUAGAUAUAUAAAUUUGAAUGUCUUGCGAACGGUGUGUAGUGCUUUUAAUAGCAUCUCAUAACACUCUUGACUCGAAUAUACGAGAUUAAUAUGAUCUUCUAUGUAUAAUAUGUGCAUCUGACGUGAUUGGUCAUUAUAUCGUUCACAAUACGACAACGUAGUACCAAACGAGCUGUAGAGGCAAAGUAGGAGACAGCUAAAUAAAAAUAAGGGAAAAAAUACAUAAAUUAGUUGGAAACGUAUAAAAAAAUAAAUAAAAAUAUAUAGCAAAGUAGUGAUCUAGUUUGUGAUGACUUUUCGAGUACACUUAUCGCUUUUUAUAUAAAAACCAGUAACAUAAGUAUUAUUAAUAAUAAUCACAUGUUUAAAACUUGCAUAUAACUUUUGUAGUUAUUUUUCUCCAAUAAUAAACCUAAUUUGUUUCUACAGUUCUGUAUUAUUAAGCUGUAAGUAUAUACGGAUUAAUAUAUAAAUGUAUGUUUAACACAAAGUGCCCUAAGACUAUAGUACCUUGAAUCAUGCCAUAUUUAGUACAGAUAUAGCAGAGCGUGUUAACUGGACUGUAUAAGCCGUUUAAUAUAUAAUUUAUACAGGCAUUCUUAUAUCGUAUACGACUUUAAAUGUAUAAUUAUAAAUGUAAUACAUAUAAACUUCACUUUUAUGAUACGUAUAUUAAUGAAAUCAUAUUCAUAAAAUCCAUUCUCCUGAAAUAAUUCAAAAGUAAAAACUUGCUGGUUUAAAUAUCUUUUUAAAUACAUUAAUCAUGGUAAGCAUUAUCGUUUUGUACUAGUUUUUAUUUACGCCUGUAUAAUUAUGUUGAGACAUUAUAUUUUGAACAGCUUGUAUAAUUUACCAAAUGUAAAACAUGUACCUACUGUAAGAUAUCGCCAUUUUAGCAGCGCAACGUUUUAUAUAAAUAUUAUACACGUUUAAUAUGUGCAUUAUACAAAUAUAUAUUUUAUACAUUAGGCUAGGUUUAGACCAAAUGAAUCCCAUCCAUUUUCGUCUGCGUAUUUGUAUAUUUAUAUAUAUCGUGAGCUUUCAUAGGUUCUUUUUAUUGUAAAAUCGCUUGUAUCUACGACUGUAUGGCAAAUAUCACAUUUUAAACAACUACGCUGUUUAUCAGUUGUUAGCUUUUGUAAAUUGUAAUAUAAACCAUGUGCCUUUUUAUUUAUUUAAAGUUGAAUCAUUAUACUUUAAUCGAUUCGAAAUUAUUUAAGAAUAAGUUUUGUUUUAUGAUUUUAAAUGCGUGUAAAUUACCCUUAUAAUAAUUUGUUAUAAUAUUUCUUUAAAUGUUUUCUUAUUUUAUAUUUUAAUAAUGUGAUAGUUGUCAUUUCAGUUUAUAGGAUUUGAUGGAAUAACUAUUGCCCCAACCAUUCGGAUAUGUAACGCACCAAUCGCUAACUUCGCUUCAUACAAUAUAUAAAUUAUAUGACAUGUAUUGGAAGUCACCAAAACUUAGUGAAUUGUAUAUUAUACUUAUAUAACUAAUAUAAAUUGUUUAUUGUAUCCAAGAAUAUGUGCAAAAUGAGCUUUUACGUCUGUGUGGGGCGUUUAAACAUCAAGGAUCUUAAAAAUAGGGUCAAAUGCCCUGUUAUAGUCCAAGUGACCCGACAAUGGGUCUUCACAGUAGUUUAUUUUGCGCAUACUUUUGCAAUGACCCGAUGUAUUCCAUCGCUUCCUGCUCGCUUUAAUAACACUGCGUACGAGAAUAUGUAAUAAAUAGUUAGUGGUAUAAAAUAAAUACCGUUACAUUCAAAUGUA